CGGGAGUGUGCCACAGCCCCCAACUUUCCUUACUGAGUUUUAACAACUCUAUGUUACCAGGCCCACUUUACGGCAAAGAAAACCUAGCCCAGGGCCCCGUGGCUAAGGGAGGAUCUUGGGGGAGCAUGGCAGAAGGCCUAAAUCUGUAGAGGGGCAUUGGGGAGGGUGUUCAGAUGACAGGAGAUGGGAAAAGCAGCAGUUUGUCACCAGUGGGGAAAUCCUGGAUGCUAGAUUCUAGCCAACAGCUAGAGUCAGCAGCUGGGCUGCUGCUGACAAAUGGGAGGAGUUUGGGUUUUCCCCUAGCUAGUUCUCUGAGGUCAGGAAGUUCAUCCUGCUAUCCACCCUCAGUUCCUACAGCUGUAUCCCACACGUCAGUCCGGGCUGUAGGUGUAAAGGAGAGAAU
rnacentral:lncRNA from 1 species